rnacentral:rRNA from 1 species
GACAGAGGCGGCGAGCGUUACCCCGGAUUCACUGGGCGUAAAGGGUGCGUAGGCGGUCGCGCAUGUCGUCCGUGAAAUCUCCCGGCUUAACCGGGAGAGGUCGGGCGAAACGGCGCGGCUGGAGGGCUGGAGAGGGGAGCGGAACUUCUAGAGUAGCGGUGAAAUGCGCAGAUACUAGAAGGUACCUCAAUAGCGAAGGCAGCUCCCUGGCCGGUUCCUGACGCUGAGGCACGAAAGCGUGGGGAGCAAACCGGAUUAGAAACCCGGUAGUACGU